UUUAUUUAGUUUGAAGUAUUUUUAACUUUCUCUUAAGAUUUCUUCUUUCACUCAUGUAUUACUUAGAAGUGUAAUGUUUAUUCUCCACAUAGUGUGGUAGUAUUUUGGAAUUAUGGUUAUCUACUUGACUUCUGUGAUAUCUCCCCACCCAAACAAAGUAAUGGCUUAAUGUUUAAGUUUGAAAAGAGAAAAGAUAAGUAAUAAAAAUAUCUUUUUAUAGGUCAUUUCUGAGGAAUCCACCAUCUAAAGACUUGAGAGUAAAAUAUAGUUGGAGAAAAUAUGGCUGCCCAUUGAGACUUAAUUUCAA